CUGCCUAUAGCUCAGCUGGAUAGAGCAACGCCCUUCUAAGGCGUAGGUCGCACGUUCGAAUCGUGCUGGGCAGGCCA
rnacentral:tRNA from 20 species